rnacentral:tRNA from 1 species
GGGGGAAUGGCGGAACGGUAGACGCGGCUGACUCAAAAUCAGCUACCUGACGGUGUAGGGGUUCGAGUCCCCUUUCCCCUA